AAAACGACCAUGUAGUUUAUGGUAUUUGGCCCGUGCUCCUCUUUUAGGUGCCCAGAGCACACCCGAGCUGGGGCUCUCCUCGAUCCGUCCGGGUACGGCGCCGGUGGCGGCGGCCGGUCUUCUUCUCCGGCCAUCUGCCGCUCCCCUUCCCUUCCCCUUCCGCCCCUAAAUUUCUCCGGCAUCAACCCAGCCUCCUCAAUCUCUAGCCCAUAUCCAUGGAGUUCUAGACUUGGAUUUCAAAGGGAUUCGGCGCCUCGGGAGGAUGAACGCCAUGGCGGCUACACACACGCGGCGUCAGCGGAUUGAAGGAUGCGGCAGCAAAUCGGCGAGCUUGAAGAUAUCAGGGGCAGCAGGCUUUACUGCAAUAUAUUCGUCUAUGAUUUUCUCCCCAAAUCUGAAAUUAUUCGCCACCUAAAGUUUAAUCCCCUUGAGAAAAUGAGAGUAUUUAUGUACUAUGCUCUAUGGAUGUUGACAAUUUUGAUUGCAGGAGCUGGCAAAGUAAGUGCAGUGCUUACCGUUGCAUAUAGAUAUUUAGGGCUACAUCAAACUUCAGUCAGUAGAACAUGAUGACCAGGCAGGGAGGUUCAUGCAGCAUUGGAAGUGAGGAUGUUUGGUGUAGAAUCGGUGCCGCCUCCGCUCUACCCUGCCCCUCUGCAUUGUCCUCGACAGCAAUACGGGCGACCUCGCUGCUUGCCUUGCUUGCAACCACUUCAUCCCCAACCUGUUGGACGAGAGCAUUGUAGACCGGGCAGACAAACAAUGAGGUGUAGCAGCACAACCUUGCCUCUUUCCCUUACUCUCAUUCACAAGCGAGCCAAAGACACCCCAAGUGGUGGCAUGAUGGCCCAUCGUGUAUGAAUGUGCUUCCAGACAAGCUUGCCGCGGCUCAGACCAGACUUGCUUGGCAUACAUGGCUGCAAUGCAUACAUGUGGCGGGAAACAGGCAGGGAAGCUUGGGACUGGAUAUGCAAUUAUGCCUUUGAAAAACGUGCAUCUCCGCAUCAGAAUUCUUUUAUGGUACGUUCUUCGUAAAGAUAUGCCUCAUGUGAAGUAUACCAUAUGCAGUUGAGGCUAUCGUGCUGAAGGGUAGGAAGAUGGAGGAGCGGAUUCUUUUAGCAAGCUGGCACCCUGUUGGUUUUGUGCAGAUGUUUGGUAUGGAGAGAAAUUCAGAAGGACAGGGAGAACUCAUCUCUUCAGAACUAAAAGAAAAAAACCAGGACAAAACCUACUGAUGAUGGGGGCAAGGCUAAUCGGGCGAGUAGCAAGUGAGAUCUAUAGAGCUUCGCAGGGAUGGAGAGCUGGAGUUCCUCGCCUGACGAACUGAAGAUUUCGUUUCCUGAUGUUAGCUUGAUUUUACUCUCUUGCGUAGUCCGCUGGAGGUUACGCCCUCUCUGUCAAAUGGGUCGCCUAUGACCCCGAAGAACUUAAGCUUGAUCGUUGCCUUUUGAGAUGGUUUCCUUGGAUAUUGGUAGUUUUAAGUAGGUUGCACGUCUGUAGUGAACUGAUACUGGUGAUGGUUUCGUUAAUGAAAUCGGAGCCCCCCUCUUUUGCUCAAAAAAACUGGCAGCACCUUCUUCCCUGUGAAUUCUCGCGAGAAGCAGCACCUUCUUCCCUGUGAAUUCUCGCGAGAAGGCGCCAUGGUUCCUACACCCACCGGUAUAGAACUUUCUUACAAAAUCCCAAACAUAGUCAAGCUGCUUUUCGAGACACCCUCUGGCUUCGCACUUUUCUCUUUUGAUAAGAGAUACCUCGACAAACAUAUUGAGGACAUCUGGGUAUACUUCGUGGGUGAAUAUUGGCAUCAAAAUAUCAUCUGGCUGCAUGAAUUCCAAAAGUUUGAGGACAAGUCGGACGCCAUUGACCUUACAAAUGGAAAAUAGGCAAAGACAUGAACAUGCUGAUCAUGAACUACUACUACUCUGAUGACAAACUAAUUGUUGGAAGCCUUGCAUAUAAAGAAAUAAUUGAAGAAUCACUGGGGCUAACAUGUGUGUACAAUGAUGACGCUGUGACGGAGGUGAUGUGGGGUGUGCAGAAUAUCAUGCACACUUUAGUGCCUCAAGAACAAUAUGAGAUUAGUAAGGAGGACCUGAUCCUGAGCCACAGGCUGAAUAUGAUCUUAAAUCUACAUGACAUUGUAGUCAAGAAAGAUAUGAUUAAUGAGUGUAUUAUUGAGAAGGCCAGCAAGGUGCAUCAUAUCGACAUGCGCGAAGAAGAACAUUUAGUUUUCUUGCACGAACGCUUGCUGAGGAUUUCAGGACGUUUUCCAAAGUCGACAUCGAGGAGUGGAGCUUAUUCAAACUUGCGACAGCGUUGAAGUUGAUGUUCGAUCCUCAUGGAGGGCUUAAAGCUGGUGAUGCAGAUGAGAUGUUCACGCGCGCUGAGCUUACAAUGAUGUCGCGUGAUGUGCCUCGAUACCAUGGGAUGAUAAGUAAGAACAUUGUCUUGGCAAUCUACAAUGAUGUUGUUACUCUCCAAGAGGACAAGGUGAAGUUGCUUACUAGUA